CCUACGGGUGGCAGCAGUGGGGAAUCUUGGGCAAUGGGCGAAAGCCUGACCCAGCAAUGCCGCGUGAGGGAAGAAGGCCUUCGGGUUGUAAACUUCUUUUACAGGGGAAGAGCAUACGACGGUACCCUUAAAACAAGCCACGGCUAACGACGUGCCAGCAGCCGCGGUAAUACGUAGGUGGCAAGCGUUGUCCGGAUUUACUGGGUGGAAAGGGCGGGUAGGCGGGAUGGUAAGUCGGAUGUGAAAGCCUGUGGCUCAACCGCCGAAGUGCAUUUGACACUGUUAUUCUUGGGUGCUGGAGAGGCAGGUGGAAUUCCAUGUGUAGCGGUGAAAUGCGUAGAGAUAAGGAGGAACACCAGUGGCGAAGGCGAUCUGCUGGACAGCAACUGACGGUGAGGCGCGAAAGCGUGGGGAGCAAACAGGAUUAGAUACCCCAGUAGUC
rnacentral:rRNA from 1 species